AUGAACGCUGGCGGCGUGCCUAAUACAUGCAAGUCGAGCGAACAGACGAGGAGCUUGCUCCUCUGACGUUAGCGGCGGACGGGUGAGUAACACGUGGAUAACCUACCUAUAAGACUGGGAUAACUUCAGGAAACCGGAGCUAAUACCGGAUAACAUGUUGAACCGCAUGGUUCAACAGUGAAAGACGGUCUUGCUGUCACUUAUAGAUGGAUCCGCGCCGCAUUAGCUAGUUGGUAAGGUAACGGCUUACCAAGGCAACGAUGCGUAGCCGACCUGAGAGGGUGAUCGGCCACACUGGAACUGAGACACGGUCCAGACUCCUACGGGAGGCAGCAGUAGGGAAUCUUCCGCAAUGGGCGAAAGCCUGACGGAGCAACGCCGCGUGAGUGAAGAAGGUCUUCGGAUCGUAAAACUCUGUUAUUAGGGAAGAACAAAUGUGUAAGUAACUAUGCACGUCUUGACGGUACCUAAUCAGAAAGCCACGGCUAACUACGUG
rnacentral:rRNA from 1 species